AGGAAUUAUUUGGAUAGCAGAUGGGAGAACACAGUCCAUGAAUCCACACCCAUAUGGCAGUGGGAGAUCGCUGCCAGGUGAACCCUUAUGGAAGAUUUGGAUAAACCUAUCAAUUUCAAACUGGACAGAUGGUCUGGAGAAUGAGCUGUCAAUAACCAAUCAUCUAGAUGCAAAAAGAGGUGCAUGCCUCUUCCCCUCAAGAUGAAGAGGUAUAGUCCACAACUAAAGAACUGGAUGUUUG